GACGAACGCUGGCGGCGUGCCUAAUACAUGCAAGUAGAACGCUGAAGGAGGAGCUUGCUUCUCCGGAUGAGUUGCGAACGGGUGAGUAACGCGUAGGUAACCUGCCUGGUAGCGGGGGAUAACUAUUGGAAACGAUAGCUAAUACCGCAUAAGAGUAGAUGUCGCAUGACAUUUGCUUAAAAGGUGCAACUGCACCACUACCAGAUGGACCUGCGUUGUAUUAGCUAGUUGGUGAGGCAACGGCUCACCAAGGCAACGAUACAUAGCCGACCUGAGAGGGUGAUCGGCCACACUGGGACUGAGACACGGCCCAGACUCCUACGGGAGGCAGCAGUAGGGAAUCUUCGGCAAUGGACGGAAGUCUGACCGAGCAACGCCGCGUGAGUGAAGAAGGUGUUCGGAUCGUAAAGCUCUGUUGUAAGAGAAGAACGAGUGUGAGAGUGGAAAGUUCACACUGUGACGGUAUCUUACCAGAAAGGGACGGCUAACUACGUG
rnacentral:rRNA from 1 species